rnacentral:tRNA from 1 species
CCUACCAUGGCCUACUGGUUAGGGAAUCGGACCUGUGACCGAAGGGUGGGUUCAAUCCCUGACUGGUAGGA